GCUGUGAGCUCGAUGAGUAGGGCGGGACACGUGGUAUCCUGUCUGAAUAUGGGGGGACCAUCCUCCAAGGCUAAAUACUCCUGACUGACCGAUAGUGAACCAGUACCGUGAGGGAAAGGCGAAAAGAACCCCGGCGAGGGGAGUGAAAAAGAACCUGAAACCGUGUACGUACAAGCAGUGGGAGCACGCUUAGGCGUGUGACUGCGUACCUUUUGUAUAAUGGGUCAGCGACUUAUAUUCUGUAGCAAGGUUAACCGAAUAGGGGAGCCGAAGGGAAACCGAGUCUUAACUGGGCGUUAAGUUGCAGGGUAUAGACCCGAAACCCGGUGAUCUAGCCAUGGGCAGGUUGAAGGUUGGGUAACACUAACUGGAGGACCGAACCGACUAAUGUUGAAAAAUUAGCGGAUGACUUGUGGCUGGGGGUGAAAGGCCAAUCAAACCGGGAGAUAGCUGGUUCUCCCCGAAAGCUAUUUAGGUAGCGCCUCGUGAAUUCAUCUCCGGGGGUAGAGCACUGUUUCGGCAAGGGGGUCAUCCCGACUUACCAACCCGAUGCAAACUGCGAAUACCGGAGAAUGUUAUCACGGGAGACACACGGCGGGUGCUAACGUCCGUCGUGAAGAGGGAAACAACCCAGACCGCCAGCUAAGGUCCCAAAGUCAUGGUUAAGUGGGAAACGAUGUGGGAAGGCCCAGACAGCCAGGAUGUUGGCUUAGAAGCAGCCAUCAUUUAAAGAAAGCGUAAUAGCUCACUGGUCGAGUCGGCCUGCGCGGAAGAUGUAACGGGGCUAAACCAUGCACCGAAGCUGCGGCAGCGACGCUUAUGCGUUGUUGGGUAGGGGAGCGUUCUGUAAGCCUGCGAAGGUGUGCUGUGAGGCAUGCUGGAGGUAUCAGAAGUGCGAAUGCUGACAUAAGUAACGAUAAAGCGGGUGAAAAGCCCGCUCGCCGGAAGACCAAGGGUUCCUGUCCAACGUUAAUCGGGGCAGGGUGAGUCGACCCCUAAGGCGAGGCCGAAAGGCGUAGUCGAUGGGAAACAGGUUAAUAUUCCUGUACUUGGUGUUACUGCGAAGGGGGGACGGAGAAGGCUAUGUUGGCCGGGCGACGGUUGUCCCGGUUUAAGCGUGUAGGCUGGUUUUCCAGGCAAAUCCGGAAAAUCAAGGCUGAGGCGUGAUGACGAGGCACUACGGUGCUGAAGCAACAAAUGCCCUGCUUCCAGGAAAAGCCUCUAAGCAUCAGGUAACAUCAAAUCGUACCCCAAACCGACACAGGUGGUCAGGUAGAGAAUACCAAGGCGCUUGAGAGAACUCGGGUGAAGGAACUAGGCAAAAUGGUGCCGUAACUUCGGGAGAAGGCACGCUGAUAUGUAGGUGAAGUCCCUCGCGGAUGGAGCUGAAAUCAGUCGAAGAUACCAGCUGGCUGCAACUGUUUAUUAAAAACACAGCACUGUGCAAACACGAAAGUGGACGUAUACGGUGUGACGCCUGCCCGGUGCCGGAAGGUUAAUUGAUGGGGUCAGCGCAAGCGAAGCUCUUGAUCGAAGCCCCGGUAAACGGCGGCCGUAACUAUAACGGUCCUAAGGUAGCGAAAUUCCUUGUCGGGUAAGUUCCGACCUGCACGAAUGGCGUAAUGAUGGCCAGGCUGUCUCCACCCGAGACUCAGUGAAAUUGAACUCGCUGUGAAGAUGCAGUGUACCCGCGGCAAGACGGAAAGACCCCGUGAACCUUUACUAUAGCUUGACACUGAACAUUGAGCCUUGAUGUGUAGGAUAGGUGGGAGGCUUUGAAGUGUGGACGCCAGUCUGCAUGGAGCCGACCUUGAAAUACCACCCUU
rnacentral:rRNA from 1 species